rfam:Felis catus isolate Cinnamon breed Abyssinian chromosome B2, whole genome shotgun sequence.
GCCUGGCUGGCUCGGUCCGUAGAGCACGUGACUCUUGAUCUUGGGGUUGUGAGUUUGAGCCCCACGCUGGGUG